rnacentral:rRNA from 1 species
AGCGGCGGACGGGUGAGUAACACGUGGGUAACCUGCCCAAGAGACUGGGAUAACACCUGGAAACAGAUGCUAAUACCGGAUAACAACACUAGACGCAUGUCUAGAGUUUGAAAGACGGUUCUGCUAUCACUCUUGGAUGGACCUGCGGUGCAUUAGCUAGUUGGUAAGGUAACGGCUUACCAAGGCAAUGAUGCAUAGCCGAGUUGAGAGACUGAUCGGCCACAUUGGGACUGAGACACGGCCCAAACUCCUACGGGAGGCAGCAGUAGGGAAUCUUCCACAAUGGACGAAAGUCUGAUGGAGCAACGCCGCGUGAGUGAAGAAGGGUUUCGGCUCGUAAAGCUCUGUUGGUAGUGAAGAAAGAUAGAGGUAGUAACUGGCCUUUAUUUGACGGUAAUUACUUAGAAAGUCACGGCUAACUACGUGCCAGCAGCCGCGGUAAUACGUAGGUGGCAAGCGUUGUCCGGAUUUAUUGGGCGUAAAGCGAGUGCAGGCGGUUCAAUAAGUCUGAUGUGAAAGCCUUCGGCUCAACCGGAGAAUUGCAUCAGAAACUGUUGAACUUGAGUGCAGAAGAGGAGAGUGGAACUCCAUGUGUAGCGGUGGAAUGCGUAGAUAUAUGGAAGAACACCAGUGGCGAAGGCGGCUCUCUGGUCUGCAACUGACGCUGAGGCUCGAGAGCAUGGGUAGCGAACAGGAUUAGAUACCCUGGUAGUCCAUGCCGUAAACGAUGAGUGCUAAGUGU